AGUACAAUAUUUACGAGCAAGUGUACCUCACCUAACCGUGUAUAUUGCUUAUAUAAUAAUAUAUAUCAUUUUCGUGGAUAGAUUCGUAAUAAUAUACGAGCAGCUGUAACGGCAUGUGGAACAACGCCGUUAUUUCUGUGAUCGCGUUAUGAUAUUAUGCAAAACCGCGAAUCUUUAUUAUUCCGAACGCUAUAGGAGCCAUCGGUAAUCGCAUUACCGACUCGUAUAUUUUUUCGGACGUCAAAACACACAAAAAUACACAUCUCCGACCCAGUUC